rnacentral:rRNA from 1 species
UACGUAGGGGGCAAGCGUUGUCCGGAAUCAUUGGGCGUAAAGCGCGUGUAGGCGGUUCGGUAAGUCUGCUGUGAAAGUCCAGGGCUCAACCCUGGGAUGGCGGUGGAUACUGUCGGACUAGAGUACGGAAGAGGCGAGUGGAAUUCCCGGUGUAGCGGUGAAAUGCGCAGAUAUCGGGAGGAACACCAAUUGCGAAGGCAGCUCGCUGGGACGUUACUGACGCUGAGACGCGAAAGCGUGGGGAGCAAACAGG